rnacentral:rRNA from 1 species
GCAUAUCAAUAAGCGGAGGAAAAGAAACCAACCGGGAUUACCUCAGUAACGGCGAGUGAAGCGGUAACAGCUCAAAUUUGAAAGCUGGCCCCCCCGGGGCCCGCGUUGUAAUUUGCAGAAGAUGCUUCGGGCGCCGCCCCAGUCUAAGUUCCUUGGAACAGGACGUCAUAGAGGGUGAGAAUCCCGUAUGUGACUGGGCGCGCGCGCCCGUGUGAAGCUCUUUCGACGAGUCGAGUUGUUUGGGAAUGCAGCUCUAAAUGGGUGGUAUAUUUCAUCUAAAGCUAAAUACUGGCCAGAGACCGAUAGCGCACAAGUAGAGUGAUCGAAAGAUGAAAAGCACUUUGGAAAGAGAGUUAAACAGUACGUGAAAUUGUUGAAAGGGAAGCGCUUGCACCCAGACUUGCGCGUGGGUGCUCACCUGGGCUUCUGCCCGGGGCACUCGCCCGCGCGCAGGCCAGCAUCGGUUCCGGUGGUGGGAUAAAGGCCUUGGGAACGUAGCUCCCCUCGGGGAGUGUUAUAGCCCUCGGUGCAAUGCCGCCUACUGGGACCGAGGACCGCGCUCCGGCUAGGAUGCUGGCGUAAUGGUUGCAAGCGACCCGUCUUGAAACACGGACCAAGGAGUCUAACAUCUAUGCGAGUGUUUGGGUGUCAAACCCAUCCGCGCAAUGAAAGUGAACGGAGGUGAGACCCCUUCAGGGUGCAUCAUCGACCGAUCCUGAUGUCUUCGGAUGGAUUUGAGUAAGAGCAUAGCUGUUGGGACCCGAAAGAUGGUGAACUAUGCGUGAAUAGGGUGAAGCCAGAGGAAACUCUGGUGGAGGCUCGCAGCGGUUCUGACGUGCAAAUCGAUCGUCAAAUUUGCGUAUAGGGGCGAAAGACUAAUCGAACCAUCUAGUAGCUGGUUCCUGCGA